rnacentral:lncRNA from 1 species
AGGCAUUUUGUUAUUCUUCAAAAUGAUAGGCAUUUUGUUAUUCUUCAAAAUGAUUUGUAUUCGGACAGCUCAGGCGAUGGAACCGCCGCAUUGUGUCUUUUGGCAAACGAAGAAGAGGUAAGUACAUCUAACUUUCACUCGUUUGAAGAAUAACAAAAUGCCUAUGAUGAAUUGUAUGGUGAAUUUGUUAAUGCUUCCAAAAUGAUAAAAGAUUUGAACAAAACACUUUCUUUGCAGAAAACACUUUCUUUGCAGAAAACACUUUCUUUG